UCCCCGGGCUCANCCUGGGAACUGCGUUCUGAACUGGGUGACUAGAGUGUGUCAGAGGGGGGUAGANUUCCACGUGUAGCAGUGAAAUGCGUAGAGAUGUGGAGGAAUACCGAUGGCGAAGGCAGCCUCCUGGGAUAACACUGACGUUCAUGCCCGAAAGCGUGGGUAGCAAACAGGAUUAGAUACCNUGGUAGUCCACGCCCUAAACGAUGUCGAUUAGCUGUUGGGCAGCAUGACUGCUUAGUAGCGAAGCUAACGCGUGAAAUCGACCGCCUGGGGAGUACGGUCGCAAGAUUAAAACUCAAAGGAAUUGACGGGGACCCGCACAAGCGGUGGAUGAUGUGGAUUAAUUCGAUGCAACGCGAAGAACCUUACCUGGUCUUGACAUGUACGGANUCCUCCAGAGACGGAGGGGUGCCUUCGGGAGCCGUAACACAGGUGCUGCAUGGCUGUCGUCAGCUCGUGUCGUGAGAUGUUGGGUUAAGUCCCGCAACGAGCGCAACCCUUGUCAUUAGUUGCCAUCAUUAAGUUGGGCACUCUAAUGAGACUGCCGGUGACAAGCCGGAGGAAGGUGGGGAUGACGUCAAGUCCUCAUGGCCCUUAUGACCAGGGCUUCACACGUCAUACAAUGGUCGGUACAGAGGGUAGCCAAGCCGCGAGGUGGAGCCAAUCUCACAAAACCGAUCGUAGUCCGGAUUGCACUCUGCAACUCGAGUGCAUGAAGUCGGAAUCGCUAGUAAUCGCAGGUCAGCAUACUGCGGUGAAUACGUUCCCGGGUCUUGUACACACCG
rnacentral:rRNA from 1 species